UUAACCAGAACAGUGGUAAACGUUAACACUAUCGUCUAUGGAAAAUCAUUUGGUUCUGCGGUCCCUAUAGAAAGAUGCAGGAUAUGACGUUCUACACCAUCCAAGCGUCCCUGGAAACCAGAUGAUGGGACCCACCAGCAUAUUUCUGGUUGUGAAUCUAUUCAUGGAUGUGUUUUGGCAGACUUAAGAGGGAAAAUUAGCUGCAGAAGGAUACUAUACGAAAAUUUACAUCCAUAUAGAGUGUGGAGGGGGGCCAUGGAUUAGGGAGGAUAUGCGCGUAUUGUGGUUAGAUGGCCAAACGGACACAGAACAACAAAGAGCACUAGUGCUCCGACUGUCACUGAUGAUACAUUAUAGAUUGCUGAAGGAGGAUUUCCCGAGGACGGACUGUGACGUCAUGAUUUUGGAGAUCCUUGGACACAGAGCUCUAAGCAGUGAUUGGAGGCCAAGCCCCACUACACAGUUCUUUAAUAACAGUCCCCGGUUCAUGGUUCACAUGACACCCUGCCCUAUGAGCUCUCCCUGUAAAGUUACUAGUAAAGUUCACACGUGAUGGGAGAGACUUCUUCAGCCGUCUGUUCACAGAUUCUACCUUUUGGGUCGACAGGUUUCUGAGGGUCAUUUCCAACACGGAGUCACCGAGACAAGCCUUAACUUUCUCCGUCAGAAUUUUUGACACCGCUGACCUUGAAAUCACUUGGAAUCUCCAUCUUCAGUACCAGUAGAAGACUUGACCUAGCAGCCAAAGCCGUGAAGCCAACCACUUCCCAUUUUGGUUUCAUACCCUAUGGUCCUGCCUUUUUCCAAAAAUGGUAAAUUUGAAAAAUAUGUUGGAUCCUAUAGGGACCACGGAACCAAA